rnacentral:rRNA from 1 species
AGCGAACGUUAGCGGCGCGCCUAACACAAGCAAGUCGCACGGAGUAGCAAAACUCAGUGGCGCACGGGUGCGUAACACGUAGAUAACCUGCCCUGAAGAGGGGGAUAACGUUCCGAAAGGAGCGCUAAUACCGCAUAACGCCGAGAUGGGUUCGCCUGUUUCGGACAAAGGCUGGGACCGGCACCGGCCAGUCACUUUGGGAGGGGUCUGCGGCCCAUCAGCUAGUUGGUAAGGUAAUGGCUUACCAAGGCAAAGACGGGUAGCUGGUCUGAGAGGAUGAUCAGCCACACUGGUACUGGAACACGGACCAGACUCCUACGGGAGGCAGCAGUGGGGAAUCUUGGUCAAUGGGCGCAAGCCUGAACCAGCGACGCCGCGUGAGUGAUGAAGGCCUUCGGGUUGUAAAGCUCUGUGGGGAGGGACGAAAGACUGAGGUCUAAUAGGCUUCAGGUUGACGGUACCUCCUUAGCAAGCACCGGCUAACUCUGUGCCAGCCGCCGCGGUAA